rnacentral:rRNA from 1 species
AGCGAACAUUGGCGGUAGGCUUAACACAUGCAAGUCGAGCGAGGCGUAAUAGUCGAGCGGCGAACGGGUGCGUAAUACAUGGGAAUCUACCUCGAAGUGGGGGAUGACGUUCAGAAAUGGACGCUAAUACCGCAUAAUCCAUAUUGGGAAAGCGUUGCAGCGCUUUGAGAUGAGCCCAUGGCUGAUUAGCUAGUUGGUGAGGUAAUGGCUCACCAAGGCGACGAUCAGUAGCUGGUCUGAGAGGAUGACCAGCCUCACUGGAACUGAGACACGGUCCAGACUCCUACGGGAGGCAGCAGUGGGGAAUCUUGCGCAAUGGGGGCAACCCUGACGCAGCCAUACCGCGUGAGUGAUGAAGGUCUUCGGAUUGUAAAGCUCUUUCGGCGGGGACGACGAUGACGGUACCCGCAAAAGAAGUCACGGCUAACUUCGUGCCAGCCGCCGCCGUAA